rnacentral:rRNA from 1 species
GGGGGGGGGGGGGGGGGGGGGGGGGGGGGGGGGGGGGGGGGGGGGGGGCGGGGGGGGGGGGGGGGGGCGGGUGGCGGACGGGUGAGUGACACGUGAGGAGCCGGCCCGGGACUUUGGGAUACCUUCAGGAAACUGGGGCUAAUACCGGAUAGGAGCUCCGGCGGCAUGGUGGGGGUUGGAAAGUUUCGGCGGUUGGGGAUGGACUCGCGGCUUAGCAGCUUGUUGGUGGGGUAGUGGCUCACCAAGGCUUUGACGGGUAGCCGGCCUGAGAGGGUGACCGGCCACAUUGGGACUGAGAUACGGCCCAGACUCCUACGGGAGGCAGCAGUGGGGAAUAUUGCACAAUGGGCGGAAGCCUGAUGCAGCAACGCCGCGUGCGGGAUGACGGCCUUCGGGUUGUAAACCGCUUUCGCCUGUGACGAAGCGUGAGUGACGGUAAUGGGUAAAGAAGCACCGGCUAACUACGUG